rfam:Picea glauca, whole genome shotgun sequence.
GUUAGGAUGGCCGAAUUGUCCAAGGCGCCAGACUCAAGUUCCGGUAUUCUAGAGAGGGCGUGGGUACAAAUCCCACUUCUGACA